UUUUGCUUCUAUUUUGUGAGAACAUUUUUGCUUGCUUAUCUUAUUCUCACUUCUGAAACACUAACCUUGUGAAACUACGCAUCUGGGACUCCAUCUUACACCUGGAGAUGGAGAAUGAGAAGAUUGGCAGCGUUCCCCGCAAUGUAGUUCCUCCCUUCUCAGUUAGUGGUAAGAUUUUUUUUGACACCUUCAUACUAUCGUGGUAAGGACACAUUGCCAGGCCAUCAAUUGUAUAGUCCUGAAAUUUUUUUCCUUGAGCUUCUUAUCAUGUCCAUUUGCAGUUUUGGAUGUGAUGAAACUUAUUGUUGCCCAUACUAAUUCCUUUCUGUAUCAAUGUCUGAUAAACUUGCCAGUGUCGGUAACAAAUUUAUCUCGUUGACUGGCCAGUGGAACUGAAUUAAUCCUGUCCAUGCUCCUUACUACAUUUCCACUUAACCUACUCUUAGGUUUACAUAUGACUGGCAUAGGUACAUUGUGCCUCUUUAAGGGAACAGUUCACGUUUGUUACUACGGUUUAAAGAAGUGCAAAUUUAUGCUCCAAAGAAGAACAUCUUUUCGGUUGAAGAAGGAAAACACUAAAGUAUUGGGAUUUCCCCUAAUUUCAAAUCGAUUGAGAGGCCUAGGUGUGAAAAAGAUGAAUCUUUAGUGGCCAGACAAGUAUAAUAAGAAUAAUAUCUUCUUACGGUAGGUACAAUGCCAUCUGACUUACUGACUGAGAACUGGUGUGUACAUGUUCAUGAUGAUAGAUACUACAUGGUAGCUAGUAUAGCAAGAUACUGCAGAGCAUUCCUAGUUUACAUGCAUACCAUAGCCUCUUUAGUUUCACGAGGAUUGCUUCCCUCCUGUGUUUUAGCACAAUGCAAGUAUUGUACUUUUACUUAUAUCAUACCAAAGGAACGUCAGAGUGAAAUCAAGUUGAUGUUUUUUUGGCAACAGCAAGUAGAGGUGUGGCUUGUGUUUUGGCUGCGAGAAAGCGGGCCCUGGUCUACAUACUGGAUGAGGAUGAAGAUGAAAUCUCUGAUUCAGAAUGACGGUCUGUUUGUGAAUUUGUGGUGGUUAUGCUUGUGUUGCUCCUGUGGGUGGACGUCUAAUCCUCAAUGCUGCAGACAUUGGUGUGAGAAGCAAUGCAUGUGGGCUUUCUGACUGAAGCUUUUCGGCUCCACCCUUCCUGGAGAGUGUUAAUUUAUACCUGCCAUGUGCCUUUUCUGCUAGGUGGGCAUUUGUCGAAGAGAAAAAUGGAGUAGAAGGAGAGAAAAUAUUGUGUUUUAGAGCACGUACCUUCAGCAUUGAAGCCCACAUUGGACGGAGGAGCUACUGGACCACCUGGACCAGCACCGAUCCGUGGAGUCAAUUUACAUUGAACAGGGGGGAAAUUUUCAAUUUGUAAGGCUUGAGAUGGAAAAGAGCUUGAGCUUUUCUUCUGCAUUGAACAAGAAAAGGACUCUCCAUUGAACUCCAUAACAUCAUUCCAGUUAUCAAAGGCGUUUUUCUCGAUUGUAUCUCUAUGUUCCUGGAAGAAAAACACUCGGUAAAUCACUCAAGCUAGACUAAUUGAAGUAUCUAUCUCCACUAUUGAAGCACAGGGAAAGAAGAAUAAAAGAAACAAUGAAAGAAGCUCAAUUCACUUUAUGCCUAUUGCUGCCCAUUUCUCCACCACAUAAAGGUCAGGUGCUCGAAAGAUGUAAUGGAGAGUACGAUCAAGGCAAGGAUCCUCAGG